AGACUUAGAGAACAUAUGCAGGGAGGGAGAUGGUGUAGGUUGGUUCCAACAAACAGUUGUUUGGAAUGUCAGAGCUGGGGACUCAGUACACUUCUGGGAAGAUCCGUGGAUAAGUAAUAGUACCUUUAAGGAUUCAUAUCCUAGACUAUUUUCCUUAUCCUUGAAUCAAGGGAUGAAGGUGGGUGAGGUUGGCUUUUGGGAAGAAGACGUAUGGCAUUGGCACCUUGAAUGGAGGAGGG
rnacentral:lncRNA from 1 species